UAACGCGUGAGGAACCUGCCUUCCAGAGGGGGACGAACAGUUGGAAACGACUGCUAAUACCGCAUGAUGCGUUGGAGCCGCAUGACUCGGACGUCAAAGAUUUAUCGCUGGAAGAUGGCCUCGCGUCUGAUUAGCUAGUUGGUGAGGUAACGGCCCACCAAGGCGACGAUCAGUAGCCGGACUGAGAGGUUGGCCGGCCACAUUGGGACUGAGAUACGGCCCAGACUCCUACGGGAGGCAGCAG
rnacentral:rRNA from 1 species